CGCGCCACAGGCUUCAAGUGGCUUUUACGUAGGUGGGACGAAUUCGUCCCGCCUAGCCCAGAGAGGUUAAUAAACAUGACCCUGGACUCUUUAAAAACAAAUAUGUUCAGUACAGUUGCAGUAUAUGAUGCUCCUCUGACCUCCUGUCAGUGUGACUGGUGCUCCAAUUGCAACUGUUAAUGCAUAUGGUGUUUAUUUGUGCCAGUGGAGAGACUGUGAGGAGUCUGUGAAAGAGAAAAUAUGUGAGUGAGAGAGUAAAAAGAAUGAAAGGCAAAAGAAAAUGUGAACAAACACAUCAGCGACGCCAUCCAUUGGUGUUGACCUGUUGACACUUCCCGCAAUAUUUUGAGCCAUGUGUGUACCAAUAGGACUUCUUUACUUCCACUGACUAAAUGUAACAAGAUAGAGACAACUAACACCACAGUGUAAAACAGCAAAGAGAAUGCUGUAAGUGGUAGGGAGAGAAGUGCAGGGUAGGAGCGGCUAAUGGCUUAAUGGAUAGAUCUGUCUUUGUUCAGUUGUGUACCGAGAAACAUAAUUCUCCUGAAGGGUUUAUUCAGUCAUGUAUUUGUUUUUGUAUCCUUUUGACGGGGGUGUAACAUGUUACUCUUACUAACAUGUUAAUUCACACAUACAGUAUACACACCGAAGAACAUGGCUGAAGUUUUACAUUCUCCUAACCAUUUGUGUUAUUUUUUUUUUUUUUGCGUUUUGUGUAACAUAUUUUAUUAACUUAUUGUGUACAUAAUGUUGCUGCUACCGUCUCUUAUGACCGAAAAUAACUUCUGGACAUCAGAACAGCGAUUACUCACUGCGGACUGGAAGAAACGUUUUCCUUUAACGAGUCCAAUGAGAAGGAUAUCCUGAUUUCACUGGAACAGGCCCAGAUCGUAAAGAAAAGAUGCAGGAAAAGGGGGCGCAGAUCGGGCAGCCUUCUGAGAAUCAGUAGGCAAGCGAGUAAACUCCUACUGCCAUCCGUUCUUCUUGCUAAUGUGUAAUCAUUGGAAAAUAAAAUUGAUAACCUACCAUUUAAGAUUAUCAUACUGUCACGGAUAUGUAGGGCAGGAGGAAGGAGCAGAGUCAAAUGCAGGAUACGAUUGUUCGGUAGGCUGAAGUUUAUUGAUACCCAACACACUAGGUGUAUCAAAAGCACAGGGAUCGCACAAAACCCCAAAAGGGAAAACAGGUAAUCCAAUGAAGAGAGAAAAAUAUGCACGGGGCGCAGCCCGGCUAGGAUCAAUAUUCCAAUAUAAAAACGCUGGAGCAAAAACACAACGUACAACCCUACUGCCCCUUGACAAACAAAUAGUCCCGCACAACACACAACCCCAAAGGAACAAACUAAAUACCCCCCCCACUAAUGACAGAAACGAAAACAGGUGCGGACCUAGACAGUCAAAACACAAUGAACACAGAAACACAGAUCGGCGGCAGCUAGUAGACCGGCAACGACGACCGCCGAGCGCCGCCCGGCCGAGGAGGGGCACCAUUUUCUGUGGAUACUGUGACACAUACCAACGGGACAUUAAGUGUGGAAAUCUGAGGUUUGUAGUUUUUCAAGUGAUUCCCUAUCCAAUAUACAGUGUCUGUGGGGUCAUUUUACACUUCCUAAGGCUUCCACUAGAUCUCAACAGUCUUUAGAACGUUGUUUCAUGCUUCUACUGUGAAUUGGGAGAGAAUAAGAGGUCCUGGAAGUAGAUGAGUGAGAAAAUGACAUGAGUUCAGUAGUGCGCACUCACGUGAGAGUUAGCUGUGUUCAUUUUCUUUUUGGAAGACAAAGGAAUCAUGCGGUUGGAAUAUUGUGGAAGAUUUAUGAUAAAACAUCCUAAAGAUUGAUUCUAUACAUCGUUUGACAUGUUUCUAUGAACUGUAAUAUAACUUUUUUGACUUCUCGUCUGAACUUAACAUCUCUAGGGUAGGUG
rnacentral:lncRNA from 1 species